CAGUCGCCGCGGGAAUACGAGGGGGGCAAGCGUUGUUCGGAAUUAUUGGGCGUAAAGAGCUCGUAGGCGGUCUGCCGCGUCUGCUGUGAAAACUGGGGGCUCAACCCCCAGCCUGCAGUGGGUACGGGCAGACUAGAGUGCGGUAGGGGAGAUUGGAACUCCUGGUGUAGCGGUGGAAUGCGCAGAUAUCAGGAAGAACACCGAUGGCGAAGGCAGAUCUCUGGGCCGUAACUGACGCUGAGGAGCGAAAGCAUGGGGAGCGAACAGGAUUAGAUACCCCUGUAGUCCCUGUCUCUUAUAC
rnacentral:rRNA from 1 species